GAAAUGCGAUAAGUAAUGUGAAUUGCAGAAUUCAGUGAAUCAUCGAAUCUUUGAACGCACAUUGCGCCCCUUGGUAUUCCGGGGGGCAUGCCUGUUCGAGCGUCAUUAUAACCCUCAAGCCUAGCUUGGUGUUGGGGCAUGCCUUUGGGCAGCCCUUAAAAUCAGUGGCAGUGCCUGCCGGCUCUAAGCGUAGUAAAUCUCUCGCUACAGGGCUUGGUAGGACGCGCGCCAGAACCCCUAACUUUCUAUGGUUGACCUCGGAUCAGGUAGGGAUACCCGCUGAACUUAA
rnacentral:misc_RNA from 1 species